rnacentral:rRNA from 1 species
UACGGAGGGUGCAAGCGUUAUCCGGAUUCACUGGGUUUAAAGGGUGCGUAGGCGGAUUAGUAAGUCCGUGGUGAAAUCUCCGAGCUUAACUCGGAAACUGCCGUGGAUACUAUUAAUCUUGAAUGUUGUGGAGGUUAGCGGAAUAUGUCAUGUAGCGGUGAAAUGCUUAGAUAUGACAUAGAACACCAAUUGCGAAGGCAGCUGGCUACACAAAUAUUGACGCUGAGGCACGAAAGCGUGGGGAUCAAACAGG